CACAUUUUCCAUAUUAGUAGGGCAUUGGGUAAAACUAAUUCCUUCAUCUACUGUUUUUCCUUCAUUUUCUUCUGAUGCAUAAAUAAAAGAAUUCAGAACAUAUGUAAUUCCCACUUCUAAGUGUCAAAUAUUGUAAGUAUUUACUAGUGUUUCAUCUACUAUUACUGUGUGCUUAGAACUAUCGUGUAUAUUCUGCUUUUCUACUCCAGUUAAAUCAAUUACUCCAAAAAAGAAAAAGCUGUAUAUGUUUCCGUGGAUAUCACUUAAGAUUCAAUAUUUAAGAAAACAUAAUUUUCGUUCUAUAUAUAUUAGGUAAUGUAAGGAUAUAUAUUGUACAUGUCUCUUCAGUAAUGGAAUAGUCUUUGAGGAAAAAGGGGAAUUAUAAUUUUCCAGUUAAAAUAACAUAUUAGAUCAGCACAGUGUUAAAUUAAAGGACCAAGCAAAAGAAAAAGCAUUUGAAGUUCCUGGGUGUAUAUAUUACUGCAUACGUAAACUGUAGACGUGGUAUAUUGAUCUAUAUUGGCCUAAAGGCUGACAAGAAAUUUUGGGAACAAAACUAAAGGUCUUGGAUAUCAGCUAAGUUCAACUGACAUACUAGAAAUUGUCUGAAAUGGUGGCUCAGCGAUCUGGAUAAACUUAGAGCCAUCAGCACAAAAUGUUUUUGGUUCAGAGUGAAAUCGAUGAGGAAGAACUUCCAUACUGAGAUCUUUUUUUCUAUUUUUAGCAGGUGGUGCAUAGGUCAGUGAAAUUUUUAAGCACAAGAUUCAUGUUCCCUUAAAACUAAUUAAAUAUUAAUUCUGGAAAAGUUGCAUUACCUUUUACGUGCCUCUGACUGAGCUGGAUCAAUUCUAACUGUUUUUCUUCUUCGCCUUACCUCCAAGCAAAAGGUUGGCUUGGAAUAAAUUCAUCCACUUGGGUAAGACCCUUCUACCCACCACUUUCUUUCCCACCACCUUUUAACCUCUGAGACUGCCAAAACCUGUCCUGGAAGAGAGACUUGGGUAGCAAAUGUUAAGCAUGCCUCACUGUUCUUGCUCCUAUGAGAUUUUGACUGUUCCCUGUCUGCCACCUUCAUUCCUGAAAGUGUUGUUGUCAUUUGUAGUUGUACUCAGGCACAGCUAUUUCAUUUCUGUCCGAUCUUUCCUGGAGAACAUUGGUUUUAUAUAUGCCACUGUAAACGAGGUGAAGCUCACUGUAGUUAUUAGAUUAUAGUUACUUUGUUAAUGCAUAGUAAAAGCAUUUUAAAGAUUCAAAGUAGUUCAAUAUCUCUGUACUAGGCAAUGGUAUCUGUCACUUUUUUUUUUUCCUCUGAAUUAUGCAAAGAGGUUCCAGUCAGGACUGGGAAUCCAUUGCACAAGUAUUUUGAAAAAUUGUAUGUGACCUGAAAAACCUAAUUAUAAAGUUUUGGGGCCAUUUCGUGAGUUAAGGAAAUAAUUAUCUGAGGCAAAAACCUCAGGGUAUUUGUCCUACCUCUGUGUCACAUUUCCCUAUAUGUUCAUUCAAAGUGUUCCUUACAGCUUUCUUCAUUUUAAUGCUAGGGUUUGCUUUCUUUUAUAUUUUUUCUAUAAACAUUUCACUGUGCACAUAUUGUACUUACCUCAAUCUAAGAUUUUGAAGCAUGGUACUUUCAUGCUUUGUAAGAAUUUCCAGAGGUUUAUUUUGAACCUUGUUAUUUUGAUAGUUCUUUAUUCUGUCAGCAGUGACUGGAAUAGGAUGGUACUCAAGGGAAACAGAGGUAUGCACCACUACAAAGUCUGUGUAUUUUCUGAGAUCCCUUAUGCUGGGGUUAUGACUGUCUCUAAAUAGACUUGUCUAACCUUACAUUCUGUCAGUCAUUCAAAAUAAAAGAUCUACAUUCAGUCUUCAUUCAGUCCCUAGGAGAAACCAGACAAGACAUCCUAACAAAAUAAAUGUGGGAAAUUGCACUGUGUUGUGCCACUUAAGUCUGAAAAAGGAUAGAAAAUCCAUAGCUUUCUAUAGUUUUUCUUCUUUCUGUGCAGAGAUGGGCCUUGUGUAUGCAGUACAAUCAGCACUUGCAGCUUUCCAAAAAUGCUGUUGGCCAAAUUCAUCCUUAGUGCAAGACCACCAAUUAUUGAAGACACACUUUGGAUUAAUGUGACAUUAUACCUUAAAAAAAAUAAUAAUAAAAAAAUGUUAGAGUCCCAUAGUGAAGUCAUACUGGUUUCUCUGAGAAAUCAUGUGUAGAUGGUAAAAGUUAGAACAGACUAAAUUACAUGACUAAAUAGAAAAGGAACUGUCUUUGCCCCAGAGGACUGACAGCAAAAUUGAUUUUACCAAAAGCAAACAUGAAGUCACUUUUGUUUUCCUUCUGUUCGUUAUACAUUGACUAUAGUAGGGACAGGGAUUUUUACUGUGUCUCCUUCAAUGCAGUAGGUGCAAAGGAGGAACAAGGCCAAGAUACUCCAUGGAUUGUUGCUCCAGCAAAUCCACCAGAUCUCAGAACUUGUCUCUGUGUUUUAGCCCAUGACAAAUUAGUACCGUGUUGUGUUGCGUGGGUACACAUGCAGAGUACCCAUUUCUUCCUCAAACAUGGGCUACUGAGUAAAGACCAUCUGCUAUUAAAUAAUGCUGCAUCAAAAUAAAAUUUGAGCAUAUUUUAACUGUUCUCUCAAGACAGAAAAAGGGUAACAGUUCCCCAGGUGCCAGUGGCCUGCCCCAAAUCCAGCUGAGGAAAUGUCUUCAGAUCUGAUUGUCUUCACAUCAGCUGGAUAGAUGAGCUCCACCCUGUUCAGUGUCUGAUGCAAGAAAGAUUGAAUUAAGGCAGCUUUUUGGGAGCUAAUGGAAAUCAAAGUUUUGAGAGGGAAAAGAACAGAGAGCUGGUCUACUAAAGAAGAGCAGAAACCUGGGCAGCUGUAAUCCUGAGCCUCAGAAAGAAGAUGAACAUUGGAAGAAGUUGGAAGAAAGAGUCUAGAGUGUUGUCACUUGGCAUUCUGUAUUUAGCAUUUCCAUCUACUGUGCUAAUGAAGUGCAUGGAACAAGAACCUCUAUAGGUAAGUAAAAAUAGCAGUGAAGGUUUGGUUUUGAUAUUUUUGAUGCAUAGUCUGGUAUCAGAUCUAAUAUACAUAUCCCAAAAUACAUCGCAAUAUGUCCCACAGCAUGUGAAAUUAAUAACAUCCUGCUUUCUUUUGUUAGCCCUCUAUGUACGGAGAGUUACAAAAUUGCCUUGUGUAUGUGGGUUUUCAAAUACAAUUUCCAAUUUCCAGAUCCACUGCUUUGUCUCCACAAGUUCAAAAGACAGGCAAAAGCAGGGAGAAAUGACUCCAUGGGGUUGAACCUCUGUACUCAUUAUGAUCUGGUUAGGAAGCACCUGCUAUUCACCAGCUUAGAAAACAAUUUGAAAUUCAAGUAAGUCUCAGCAAGCACCUAACAGAGAACAUCAGGAAGCUAGGCAGCUAGCCAGUUUCAUAUGCCUCAUCUCUCAGGUUUUUGCUGUCAUGCUCUCCCCCACUACCACAUACUGCUUUUUUUCCUGCUUUUCCUUCUAUAUUUGAAGUAAGUGGAAAAAUGCUACUGUUUAAAAUGUCUCCUAUAUAUUUUCUAGAAUGGAGAUUUUAAUGCCUUUUAAUGACAGAAAUUAUGUAGUAAGGUAUGGCUUAGGAAUAAAAGAAUGUGCUAAUAUAGAAAGCCAAGCCAGAUUUUCCUUUCAAAGGAGCAAACAUGUAAGUAUUAGUGAAAAAUGUGCUUGGGCCAAAUUAGGUUGAAAGCCUGGCACAUGAUAUAAAGACUCAAAGCACAUCAUUUCCAGCUUUCCUAAGGUAUUCAUUGUAGCAAAAAUGGGAAAGUAACUUCAAUUGUACACAAUUUUGGACAUGCUUUAUGAUGAUGGUCCUUUCAGCAUUUCUAACUUCUUAGAAGAUAUUUUUGCUAGUUUACAAUUUCCAUUUUCUAAUAAUCGAGCUCAACAGAGAGAAACGUUAAAUCUGAUGUAAAUUCAUACUUUUUGGCUAUCACAAUUAUGGACACGUUAGCAGAAAGAGAUACUAUCUGUGAGUUCAUGAAUUCACAAAAACUACACUCUGUACUGUUUUAAAAACAGUGUUGAAACAGGCUCAGGCUAAGCUUUCUGACAUCCCUGGAUCUCUAAGGCCAAAUCUUUGCAGGUUCAUCUGAGCCUUUCAUCAUUCCUAAGGAUUACAUGCACAAAGUUUCAAACUUUGGGACCUGUCAAAGUGAUAUGAUUUUCACUUAGAGGUGGGAAGGCUACGUUUUUGCAGCCAGUGUUUAGUUUUCACAUCUCUAAAUUUGAAUCUUUCUUUGAUUUCAAGCAGUGUGGAUGGAUAUGCUUGUAGUAGUGAUGGUUUGAAAAUUGUAACUUUUAACUCAUUCUGAAACUUCAUGAAGAAUUCUAGAGAAUGAGAAUCCAUUCACUUUUUUUUUCUUUUUUUUUUUUUCUGUAUGUGUUGAUUUACCGAAAUGUUACAACUCCAUACCACUACCAUGCAAUGUCUACCACUUUGGCUUUCUCUUGCCACUGCAGACCUGUGUGUGUGGUUCUGUUUUGAUGAAAUGCAGAAACAAAAUUAAAUUAAGCCAGUAAUGGCAACUGCAUGAAUAUCCAUGAAAGAGAAGGUCUAAAGCAACCAACAUACUGAAAACACAUACAAGAAGAAAAAUAAAUCCAAUACUCUGAGUGUUAACCAUAGAUUGAAAGAUGAAGUGAGAAUGUUUGACUUCAUGAUGUGUACUGAUGUGGGAAAUUAAAUUGGUCAGGGUAGUUCCAGGGAGCAAACAAUAUUUUUCCUUAAGGGUAUAUAAAAUGUCAUCUUUUCAUCCAAAAAAUGCUAAUACAUUGCUUCUCUGUUAGCAUUUUGUAUUUAAUAUUAACCUGCAACUUAUUGCAGGCAAAAAAAAAAAAAAAGUAUACUGCACUUUAACGUGUCUAGAAAGCCAAGGGUUGUGUCUGUAUCUGAAUAAGCACAGGACUGAACUUCCUUAUUAACUUAGCCAAUCCAAAUGAUCUGCAGUGUUCAAGCACUACACUUGAUUCCUUGUUACAGUGACAGAAGACAGCAAGUACAACCACACAGUAGUGCUGCACUUGCUACAAUUGUGCAUAUGCCCCUGUGGUGCACUGUUUCAGGAGAGGUCAAAUGUAGUGAUAGACCAGGAAUAUUUAUUUAUUUAUUUAUUUAUUUAUUUAACCCAGUUGACAUACAGUUUGUAGUCUCAGGAUGCAAGGAUUACCAGACCCUGGCAUAUUAGCUAUACUAAUGGCAGAGGGUGCCACGUGGGCCAUGAACUUACCUCAAGUAUCUGAUUAGUGUGCUGUGUUCAAGCAAGAUUAAAAUAUAUAACAGAUUUGGGUUUGGCAGGGAAUUUCAAUUCUCUAUCAGUCUAUUAGCAAACAUUGGCUCUCCUGUGUAGUGGAUUGUCUGGUCAGCUUCUUACAGACAUUCAGGGUAGUUUUAUUAACGUGCUUUCCCAGGAAUAUAGGAUUCCUCAUCCUUCCUCUUUUCCUGAGUCACAUUACAGUUGAGAUUUGGGUCUUUCACUAUUGGUUGAAUGAGUAUUUGGAAGUGUUCUGUGACUUGCAAUGUACCUUAGUCUGUGAAGUUGCUUCUGAAUUAUAUAUAUAUAGCCCAGUUGUCCAUGUCUGCAGGGGACAGGACUCAAUGAUCCAAGUAAUUGUUUCCAAUCCGGUGUUCUCUAGCAUCCAAAAGUACAAAAUAGAUGGUAGAUGAAGGAUGGCAUCUAUCUGGCUGAAAGCAGUCAUGCACACUGUAGGCGAGUGCCUACAUUUUAGCUGAUCAGCCCGUGAUCUCUAUGUGAUGAACCAAUAUAAACAGGCAAUUCUGAGGUAGUGCUCAACUCACCUAAAGGAUGAUAUAUAGGUAAGAUACUUGUAUGAGUCACACCCUGAAAUCAGGACAUUUACUCCACAGGAAGUUAAGGACACGCAGGUCAGAUGUAGAUAGCUAGAUAGCUACAACAUGAAGUUAGAUGAAAUUAUGUCAGCUAGUGAUACUUGGUUGAAAUAAAAAUAAAACAUGUAAAAAUAACUCCUGUGCUGUUUACUGGCAAAAUACCAACUGGAAGACUAUAUCUCGUUGGGUUUUUUUGUUUGUUUUUGUUUUUUUGAUAUUACACUUCAAGAAGGGUGUGGACUAAUUGUAGAAAGUCUACAGAUGAGUGAGAAUGAUUAAAGUCUUUAAAACCAAGAGCUAUACAGAAGGACUAAGUGAAAGCUAAAUACAGAUUGAAGGAGAAAAGGACAGGCAAAGUGAAACAGGAGAAAAAAAGACAUUAAUUUUCCUCAGGUAUGUGGCAAAUCAUUGUAGAGAUUGCAUUAUACGUCCCUUACCCUGUUCUCUUACCACACCAAGUCCCAUUUCUGCCUCUAUGCUCCAUGUUGCUGAGCCACAUCUCCGCCCCCUUCUGCUGCAGCAAAAGGCAAAAGUUUGGUGCAUGAAUAGAAGCAGUAAAUGUGUUUGGGACUCUGCCAAGACCUGUCAUGGCUUCACCAUGCUGGGGCAACUGGAGGAUGUAUGGCCCAACCUACUAGUGGGACAUCAGAAAUGACUUGCAUUCAGACUAAAUCAUUUUUUUGCUAUUUUGCACACUUCUGUUUGCAAGCUCAAGGAAUUAUGAAACAGAUGAAUUUUGCUGCUGUUUCUCAGUCUUUUCAGGUGCUGCAGCAACUUCUUAUGUUAAAUAUUUAACCACCUCACUUUUAUAGAUCCCAAUUUACUGAUUUCUGACAACUUUCCUUUCUCUCUCACCCUUUCAUCACUCAAGAUGUAAGACAGGUAAGACAGAAGUGUGGGGAAAAAAUAAAUCAGUCAGCAUGGAUUAGAAGCCCACAGAAAUGCAAAAAGAGAGAGUAGGAAAAAUAUGCAAAUAAGCAUGUUUGACUCCUUGCCGCUAGUAUGCAAGCCAGAGUGAAAACAGCCUGAAGCUUCUCAAAUUGAAUAGGAGGAUUUGUUAGAGGACUGUGGCUGGGUAACUGAAAGGGGGACAUUUAGUGAGGCCUGUAGCUAGCUAACCUUAUUUUGUGAAAACAUCUGCAUAUUUUUAAAGCCUAUUUUAAGGCUGAUGUUCUGAGUGUAUAAUUGCAUAGUGUUUUUGUUGUUUCUAUAUCCUAAGGAAAGUGCUGUUAGACCAUCCCUCCUUGAGCGUAAUGUUGGAGACCUUUCAGACCCUACCCUGUGAGUUUUCUACCAGUCUGAGUAAUGUGGAAUCUGCCUUCCUAUAUCGUCUCCACUCCUAAAUAUGACACAAUCUGUCCCACCCUUCCCUGUCCCUUCUUGAGCACAGGACCCAGAACCUCCUUCUGGUCUCAUGACACCUGUGGUGUCUUCCCAUUACUACCAUGACACAGACAUCGACAGCUCAGAAAAUUCUGCUGUUGCUACGGGAUUUGGCCUGACCUACAGUGCCUCGGCUGGUACUGUGUGGGACCAGAAGUGACAGAAAGGUUAUCAUGCCCAGAUAAGUCUCUCCAAGCCUUCUCAGCUGAAGCCUCUAAAUCAUUUCAUCUGAUGGCAGAUGUACGCUUUGUCAUGCAACCAGUGAGGAUGAUUAUGGGGAUCAUAGAAGAAGUCUGUUAAGAAUUCUGGUCAUCAUGUGGGACUGCAUAUAUGAAUCCUAAUAAAAACAGCACUACAAAGCCUGUGCAGUUAUCUGCAAAUAAAUUUAUAUUUGCACAAACAAAAGCUGGCUAAAGUUUUGAAGUGGGUUUCAGCAGAUAGCUUUUUCCUUACCAUGCUCAUUUAUCCUGAACAAGUCUAUCACCUUUGCAGUUUAAUUAGCCAGACACAAAAUUUAAAACUUUUACCUCCUCAAAAUUUAAAAGAGAUUAUUUAUAAGGAAUUGUUCUUUUUUUUCUUUUCUUUUUUUUUUUUUUUUUUGUCAUCAUGUUUCUCCUCCCCCUUCUCCCCCCCCUCCACGUCCAGGUGGAAAGUGGUGUGGAAGCCCUAGAAAAGAGCUAUGUCUCUGUAUGGGAGGAUAUUGUUAGGGUAAAGGAUCUCCUUCCCGUGUUUCAUUAAAGUCAGCAGAUAUAUAACUUAGUCCUGGUUUCUGUGGCUACAGUACAGGCAUACCUUUCUAAUUUCCAAAAUCCUCUACCCAUUUGCUUCAGGAAUGUGUACCAUAAGUCUUCAACCUUGUUUUAAGAUUAAAUAGGAAAGUUGCACUUUUUAAAUUCACAUAGCAUAAAGAAUGAGAAAAGUUGCUUGUCAUUCAUUUUAAUGAUGAUUGAGAUGGCUAUAGCGCACAAUCACCAAAUUUAAUGAAGUAAUUACUUUUCAAAUUGAUUUCUAAUUCUCUAC